AGACAGCCUCAGGUCCAAGGGAUACAUAUACCCAUAUCCCUUCAGAGCAAUCUUUGAUAGCAAAGUACUCCAGAAGUGGUAAUGCAUAGUGAAAUGUACUCCUACAUAUCACCCGUAUGCCAUACCCAUAUCACCACACAUCUUGAUUAAGAGGACAACUAACUAAUAUGGCACACAAUGACCUACACUCGAUACAGUUAUCAUCUUUGUAACAAUGGUAUCAUUUGGUCGCG
rnacentral:lncRNA from 1 species